rnacentral:rRNA from 1 species
AUUGAACGCUGGCGGCAUGCCUUACACAUGCAAGUCGAACGGCAGCACGGGUGCUUGCACCUGGUGGCGAGUGGCGAACGGGUGAGUAAUAUAUCGGAACGUACCUUAUCGUGGGGGAUAACGCAGCGAAAGCUGUGCUAAUACCGCAUAAGCCCUAAGGGGGAAAGCAGGGGACCGUAAGGCCUUGCGCGAUUAGAGCGGCCGAUACCUGAUUAGCUAGUCGGUGAGGUAAAGGCUCACCAAGGCAACGAUCAGUAGCUGGUCUGAGAGGACGAUCAGCCACACUGGGACUGAGACACGGCCCAGACUCCUACGGGAGGCAGCAGUGGGGAAUUUUGGACAAUGGGGGCAACCCUGAUCCAGCAAUGCCGCGUGAGUGAAGAAGGCCUUCGGGUUGUAAGGCUCUUUUGUCAGGGAAGAAAUCUUCUGAGUUAAUACCUCGGGAGGAUGACGGUACCUGAAGAAUAAGCACCGGCUAACUACGUGCCAGCCGCCGCCGUAAUAC